UGGGGAAUUUUGGACAAUGGGCGCAAGCCUGAUCCAGCAAUGCCGCGUGCAGGAUGAAGGCCUUCGGGUUGUAAACUGCUUUUGUACGGAGCGAAAAGGUCUGCUCUAAUACGGUGGGCUCAUGACGGUACCGUAAGAAUAAGCACCGGCUAACUACGUGCCAGCAGCCGCGGUAAUACGUAGGGUGCAAGCGUUAAUCGGAAUUACUGGGCGUAAAGCGUGCGCAGGCGGUUAUGCAAGACAGAGGUGAAAUCCUCGGGCUCAACCUGGGAACUGCCUUUGUGACUGCAGAGCUAGAGUACGGUAGAGAGGGAUGGAAUUCCGCGUGUAGCAGUGAGAUGCGUAGAUAUGCGGAAGAACACCGAUGGCGAAGGCGAUCCCCUGGACCUGUACUGACGCUCAUGCGCGAAAGCGUGGGGAGCAAACA
rnacentral:rRNA from 1 species